rnacentral:rRNA from 1 species
GAUGAACGCUAGCGGCAGGCCUAACACAUGCAAGUCGAGGGGUAACAUUUUGUGCUUGCACAAAGAUGACGACCGGCGCACGGGUGCGCACCGCGUAUGGAACCUGCCCUUUACAGGGGAAUAGCCUUUGGAAACGGAGAUUAAUGCCCCAUGGUACCUUCUAUAGCAUUAUAGGAUGGUUAAAGCCUUCGGGCGGUAAAGGAUGGCCAUGCGUCCCAUUAGCUUGAUGGUAGGGUAACGGCUUACCAUGGCGACGAUGGGUAGGGGCCCUGAGAGGGGGAUCCCCCACACUGGUACUGAGACACGGACCAGACUCCUACGGGAGGCAGCAGUGAGGAAUAUUGGACAAUGGGCGGAGGCCUGAUCCAGCCAUGCCGCGUGCAGGAAGAAUGCCCUAUGGGUAGUAAACUGCUUUUAUACGGGAAGAAAAAGGGCUACGUGUAGCCUGUUGACGGUACCGUAAGAAUAAGGACCGGCUAACUCCG